GAUCCGCUCAAAUCCACCUUCAAAGAUCAAGCCCACGGCCCCUUGAAGAAACUUCUAACAGUUCAUCCAAGAUCAAGCCUCAACGGCCUUUGGAUCAACGAAACAUCCACAAAUCAACACCUUACGGAGAUCGAAUCAGAGGAUCAAAUUUGAGAGAAAUUGUAACCCAAAAUCAUCAAAUACAAAUAUUUGUUUGUGCACGUUGUUCUUGUCUCUUUCGUUUCAGGAAUUUUCCGUGUUCACAAUAGGCAUGCAUAAUAUUCAACGGACCACAUGUAAAGGACCGAAGAAAUUUUGGAUCUCUCACUUGGAAUGUCGUUUAUUUUUUAAAACUUGAUUUGAAUUCAAAUUUCAAAUACAAUAUGAGACAAGUUCGUUUUAUAUAGCUUCGGGUGACUAGUGUUGACCAUAUUUUAGCGUGUUCUUUCUCCAUCUGGAGAGAUGCCCUAGGUCCCAAUUCAUAUUUUAGAGAAGGCACUCAGAUUAAGUUUAGUGGUUUUUUAUUUUAUUUCAUAUUUAUUUAUUUAUUUUUAAGCUCGACCCUGAAUUUCUCUCUCUCAAUUGAAGGAAAUAGGGUUUUAGCUAACCUCCAUAUUUGUACAAAAGAAAACGAAUGAUAAAAGUUCAUGACAAAAAUGCACACUUAAUUCAACCGAUCAAUCAGCCAAUAUUUUCUAAUGAAUAAUAUUAGGUAGACUAAAUUUGCAAAUUAAAUAAUGUGUCACCAAUAAAAAAUAAGUACGUUAAUUGACAGUUAAGAAAUAAUCUAAUCAUCAACUUUUAUGUCAUUUAAUUAAUUUUUAAAAUCUAAUCUACAAAUUUAAUCUUCCUAACAUUAACCUUUUUCUAAUUGAAGAUGCCACGAACUUAUGCUUGUGUCUUUGUUUGUUUUAUCUUUUUCUCUUUCUCUUUUUCUUUUUUGUUGGUAGAGAGCUAAACCAGAUCAGUGCCUGCUUUGAGUAAAGCAACUUGUGCAAUUGCACAGGACCCCCACCUCCAAAGGGCUCCUAGAUUAAUUAACUUUGCGAUCUUAUUACUUUGUUUCCUUUUUGGGAUGAGAGAUAAAGAGAUUCAUGAAAGAAUAUGUGGAUUUUCUAUUUCAAAUUUUUAAUAUCGAAGACUAAUUUUUGAUUUAAUGUUUUAUUGUUAGAAAUUUUAUUUGAACCCAUACAAACUCUCUUUACAACCAGCCUACUCUUUACACCUAUAUUAUUUUUAGGAGAAAUUAGGUUCUCAUCCUUCCUUUUGCUACUUCAUUGAUUAAAGGCAAAUUUUACUAAAACCCAUUUCAUUCAACCUCUUUUUACACCCAAUUCUAAAAAUAUUUUAUUCAAAUUCCUAAUUCACCCUUGUAUAAAAUUGAAAAACAAAAAAGAAAAUCAAAAUGUCUUUUUACACCCACUGUCACUUCCAUCUCAAACCCCACCAGAGAUUUGCUGGUGAUUUUUCAGGGCAACUUCUGCCUUCAUUGACAGCCCAUUUACCUUUCACAAGCUUUGACAUCUAACGCCUUCCAUCGGGAGAGGAUCCUCUCCGAACCCAAACCCACCGGAUCCUCCGGAUC
rnacentral:lncRNA from 1 species